rnacentral:rRNA from 1 species
AUUGAACGCUGGCGGCAGGCUUAACACAUGCAAGUCGAGCGGGGGAAGGUAGCUUGCUACCGGACCUAGCGGCGGACGGGUGAGUAAUGCUUAGGAAUCUGCCUAUUAGUGGGGGACAACAUCUCGAAAGGCAUGCUAAUACCGCAUACGUCCUACGGGAGAAAGCAGGGGAUCUUCGGACCUUGCGCUAAUAGAUGAGCCUAAGUCGGAUUAGCUAGUUGGUGGGGUAAAGGCCUACCAAGGCGACGAUCUGUAGCGGGUCUGAGAGGAUGAUCCGCCAAACUGGGACUGCGACACGGCCCAGACUCCUACGGGAGGCAGCAGUGGGGAAUAUUGGACAAUGGGGGGAACCCUGAUCCAGCCAUGCCGCGUGUGUGAAGAAGGCCUUAUGGUUGUAAAGCACUUUAAGCGAGGAGGAGGCUACUCUAGUUAAUACCUAGGGAUAGUGGACGUUACUCGCAGAAUAAGCACCGGCUAACUCUGUGCCAGCAGCCGCGGUAA